rnacentral:misc_RNA from 1 species
GUGGCUCUCAAACCAAAUGCUUUAGCAGCAAUAAUGACAUUUGGAAUUCCAGCCCACUUCAUUGAUGGUUCGAUGAUCAGCUCCUUCUCAUCAGUGAUAUAUACUUUCAUUCCUGGAAUAUAAUUAAAUGUAGAGUGAGAACUUUUCUGAAAAUUCACCACAAAUAAACAAAUUUAAGGAAGCCUCUAAGUUACUAGCCAAGAGCUAUCCAUGAUACCAUUCUGUGUCCAACCACAGGUUGCCUUGAAAUUUAAAAUGGCAACAAAGGAACAACAUAAUUGCAAUUGUUACUUUCUAGUGCUGAGUUUCUCAUCCAAUCAAUUACUCUUUCCACAGUUUUUUUAAAAUCCUACUUCAACAGAAAACGUGUGUACGAAUACAUAUGUGUGUCCACAUGUAAGAGAGAGAGAGAGA